rnacentral:lncRNA from 1 species
AUGGUGCGGUGGCCUCAGGUGACUCAGCAUACUAGUAACCCAACUCGCCAGAUGCAACAGUAUAGUUAUGUGCUCCAGCAACCCAGCUACCCACUGCAUCAGCCCCAGGCCCCCCAGCAGACUGGGUUCUGGGCCCAGCAGCCCCAGGUGCCCCAGCAGCAACCUGGCUUGCGACCACUGCUGCCCCUGCAGCCCCAGCAGCAACCUGGCUUGCUGCCCCCGCGGCCCCAGCAGCCCCUUCAGCCCCAGGCGCCCCAGGAGCAACCUGGCUUGCUGCCCCAGCAGCCCCUUCAGCCCCAGGCGCCCCAGGAGCAACCUGGUUUGCUGCCCCUUCAGCCCCAGCCCCUGCAGCCCCAGCAGCAACCUGGCUUGUGGCCCCUGCAGCCCCAGGCGCCCCAGCAGCAACCUGGCUUCCGUCCCCUGCAGCCCCUGCAGCCUCAGCAGCCCCAGGCGCCCCAGCAGCAACCUGGCUUCCAGCCCCUGCUGCCCCUUCGGCCCCAGCUGGAACCUGGCUUGCAGCCCCAGGCACCCCUGCAGCCCCAGGCGCCCCUGCAGCCCCAGGCACCCCUGCAGCCCCAGGCACCCCUGCAGCCCCAACAGCAACCUGGCCUGCUGCCACUGCAGCCCCAGCAGCCCCAGCCCCAGCCGCAACUUGACUUCUGGCCCCUAAAGCCCCUGCAGCCUCAGCAGCCCCAGCAGCAACCUGGCUUGCGGCCCCUGCGGCCCUUGCAGCCUCAGCAGCCACAGCAGCAACCUGGCUUGCGGCCCCUGCAGCCUCAGCAGCCCCAACAGCAACCUGGCUUGCAGCCCCUGCAGCCUCAGCAGCCCCAACAGCAACCUGGCUUGCGGCCCCUGCAGCCUCAGCAGCAACCUGGCUUGCGGCCCCUGCAGCCUCAGCAGCAACCUGGCUUGCGGCCCCUGCAGCCCCUGCAGCCUCAGCAGCCCCAGCAGCCUCAGCAGCCCCAGCAGCAACCUGGCUUGCGGCCCCUGCAGCCUCAGCAGCCCCAGCUGCCCCUUAAGCCCCAGCUGCAACCUGGCCUGCUGCCCCUGCGGCCCCUUCAGCCUCAGCAGCAACCUGGCUUGCAGCCCCUGCAGCCUCAGCAGCCCCUGCAGCCCCUGCAGCCCCAGCAGCCUCAGCAGCCCCUGCAGCCCCUUCAGCCUCAGCAGCAACCUGGCUUGCCACCCCCGCAGCCACAGCAGCCC